UACGGGGGGGGGGCAAGCGUUGUUCGGAAUUACUGGGCGUAAAGGGCGCGUAGGCGGCCUGCUAAGUCGGGACGUGAAAUCCCUCGGCUCAACCGGGGAACUGCGUCCGAUACUGGUGGGCUCGAAUCCGGGAGAGGGAUGUGGAAUUCCAGGUGUAGCGGUGAAAUGCGUAGAUAUCCGGAGGAACACCGGUGGCGAAGGCGGCUUCCUGGACCGAUCACUGACGCUGAGGCGCGAAAGCUAGGGGAGCAAACGGG
rnacentral:rRNA from 1 species